GCAUUGGCAAACUUGUUUUCAGAUGAGCAACGUCAUCUCGGUUAUCGAUUAAACUAGUGUAUCGCAAUGAUUAACACGGAGAAUAAGAUAACCUACCAUAUAGUAUAUUGGACGUUAUUUGAAACAUACAGCCUCGACGUGAACUUUAAACUAAGUAGGCUCUAUGAACGACCAACAUAAACGUAGCCUAAUGUUAUAGGUUCUUCUGCUGCUACGCUCAACAUGCCAUUCAGCAACUUUAACGUUACUUCACUUCAGAUAUCAAGUUGGUCCUGGAGGAUUGUUAUGAGAACACAGACAAUCUAGCUCGAGAAGAUCAGUUAAAAUACCUCAGUAGUCCUGGAUUUGGGAACUUUGUCAUGUCCGUUGAUACUACCGCUGUUAAAAACCUUGGAACUGGGCGCGUCGCGCGGGCAGGUGGAGGUAAAUAUCCGGAAAGAGAUAUUCCCGCUGCCCCGCCUCUUCACAAUGCGCGCUCCCGCCUUGAUGGAUGCGUGUUCUGGUCCUCAACCACCCCCGCUGUAGCCUACAGCAGAUCAUAUUCUUUCAUCAGAGGAAGAAGAUAUCAUGUCAUCUAUUCACGCAGCCCUACAGAACUGUAGAGUGACACUCUGAUUCACCAGAACAAGGGGUGGAAUAUACUUUGAAAAAAAGCUCAACUUCCAGAGAUGUGAAAGUGAAACUCAGUCUAGGUUCUUGGCUGGUCCGCAAAAGAGUGGAGUCCCUCCGGUUUUGUUCAUUGGGACUACUUUGGGAACGAAUCAUUCUUUCCUUCCUUCCUUGAAGUAGCCUAUGUUACUUAUUCAUAUGAGAAAAUGAAUGGUGUCUCAGCAUAGCUUCCACAUGUCCUAUCGUGAGGAGGCUCAUCCAUGGUCCAUUCAGGGGCUCGCACCCUCUCUUAAAGCAGCGUCAUCUCCUUGUCUCCUCUCCAAUAUCUCAAUCGUCAAAUGACUCCAUCUCAUUGUCUCUUCUCCUCGUUCAUCUGUACUCAUCCUUAAAGUCAGAUAUCUCCAGUUGUUCCAUUCCAGGGCAGAUGAAGAGAAUGAAACCUGUCUAAUUACAUCCCCAAUUAAAAUGUGAUUUUCUUAUCCGAUCGAGACAAUCACAUUACUAUCAAUGUACCGGUCUGUGUCCUAACAGAAUAUGUUGUAAUCCAUUGUCAAACAGCCUGUAAUUUACUCCCAUAGAACCUCUCUGGGGUCCUGCUGCCAUCUACAGGGAAGACGAGGUACUGCUGAAGCGGGUGUUCGUUUUUUUUUUCAAUUCGUGGCGAAUUAAUUUGUGUAGACAACCAGGUGAGGGGAGAUCCUAACUAAUCAAUGGCGUUAAUUGAUCAAUCAAGUACAAGGGAGGAGCAAAAAUCCACUGACACUCUGGCCCACCUAGGACAAGGGUGGGCAAACGUUUUGGUUCGAGGGCCGCACAGAUUUUUGGGGGGACUGAUUUGUUUGUCAAAAUCAAUUUGCAGGCCAGAAAAGGGGGAGUUAUUUGACAAUAUAUAGUGUAGGUCCAUUAUAAUUUAUAUAAAUAUAGAGUAUAUAAAUAUAUAGUGUAGGUCCAUUAUAAUUUAUAUAAAUAUAUAUUGUUGAUCCAUUAUAAUUUAUAUAAAUAUAUAGUGUAGGUCCAUUAUAAUGCAAGCAUGUGUUUUCUAAAUGGCCAAUGAGAGGAAGGUUAAAUGUCAGAGGUCAUAGAUCAGGUCAAUGUUGAGUGUAAAUCGACAGUUGUCAUUCCUCCUCAGACAGGUCUAUAUAGCCUACAGUCUGUAGUGACUCUGAACAGAGUGUACCUGUAUCUGGACCAAAGCAGAUUAAGUCUGACCUUGACCUUUGUAUCUUCCUGGGGUAGUUUGGAAAACCGCAUGGUCUGACUGUCACGCCCUGACCUUAGAGAUCCACAUUUAUUCUCUAUGUUUGGUUAGGGCAGGGUGUGACUCGGGUAGGAAAAUCUAUGUUUUCUAUUUUUUUAUUGUUUUGCCGAGUGUGGUUCCCAAUCAGAGGCAGCUGUCUAUCGGGGUCUCUGAUUGGGGAUCAAAAAUGAGUUGUGAUUUUCCGUUUAGGUUUUGUGGGGGUGUUAUUUUCUGUUUAGUGUCUGUGCCUGACGGAACUGUUCGUUUUCGGAUUUGUUAUUAUUAUUUUUUGAGUGUUUCUUGUAAAUAAAUAUCAUGAACACUUUCCACGCUGCGCUUUGGUCCACUCUCCUUUCUACCGACGACGAGCGUUACAGAACACCCCACCAAAGAAGGACCAAGCAGCGUGGCCAGGAGGACUGGACAUGGGAGGAAAUACUGGAGGGGGAAGGACCCUGGACACGGGCUGGGGAGUAUCGCCGUCCAAGGGAGCAGAUGGAGGCAGCGAGAGCGGAACGGCGACUAUACGAAGAGUUAGCUCAACGACGGAAGCACAAGAGGCAGCCCCCGCAAUUUCUUUUUGGAGGCGGCACACGGGGAGAUUGGCGGAGCAGAGACGUGAUGGUAGAGAGGUUGUUGCUGAAGGGACUGCGAGGGCAUGUCUGUGGGUGGGACUAUGGAAACCUUCUGUGGAACCCCUGAGUAUCUGGCGCCAGAGGUGCUGUUAGGCCACAACAGCUGUGGACUGGUGGGGGCUGGGGAGUGCACUUUAUGAGAUACUUCAAGGACUGCCCCCUGUUCUACAGUCGCAGUAAAGCAGAGAUGUUUGAGAACAUCCUUCACGCCCCACUGCAGCUCCAUAGAAGUGUGUCCCAGUCUGCACGGACUCUGCUGCAGAGCCUGCUGGAGAGAGACUGUACCAAACGCCUUUGGGGGGGGGGGGGGGGGGCAUGACCUUGUAAGCACCCCCCAGUACCCCACCUGGCAGAGUGCUGACACAUGCUUGCAAGACCACAUACUCACUCGCACCCAUACACACAUUGACGUGCUGUCUCACUUUGUUUGUUGACUGAGCUGCAGGGCUACACCUUCUUCCUGUCCAUCAACUGGGAUGACCUGCUAGCCAGGAAAGUCCCUCCCCCAUCCAUUCCCAACCUGGUGAGCGUGUGUGUUUUAUAGGGGCUAUGGGUCAGUUUGGAUCUGUGACUACCUGAAUGUGUCUCUGGUCACGCGUUCCCUCCCCCUCUCUUUCAUUCUGGUCCGUGUGAUAUGCUGUAUUUUGACCCGGAGUUCACGCUUCUUCCAGCCCCCGCCUCCCUCGGUUUGAGUGACAUGUUGGGAGACGUGGUCAAUGGAGCCUUCCCAGGGUUCUCCUAUAUGUCUCCGGCUGAGGUUGGAGUCACAGAGCCCUGAUAUCAUUCUAAUAUUAUUUGUGUUUUGAAUAAAUUAAAAUGCAUUUAUCAGAUUGUUUAUCUCACAGAGAACGGAGGCUCAGGCCGGGUUAGAACCAGUGGUUAAAUUGAACCGGAGCUACCUGGAGUCAGCCUCCUGUACCUUGGGUCAAAGGGAGAAAAAGGUGGAGCCUAGC